GGUUUGAGUUGCAGACAAGUGUAAAUGAUGAGAAAGCUCCGGCCAGCAGCAUCCACGACUCCACUUUUCAAGUUGCUGCAUCUUGGCAAGCUAAUAAAAACUUUUUGGUCAAGGGAAAGGUGGGGCCUCUAAGCUCAUCUGUAGCUUUGGCAUUUAAGUCUUGGUGGAAACCUUCCUUCACUUUCAAUGUUUCAGCUACUAGAGAUCGGGUAAAAGGAGCAACAGCCUUCGGAUUUGGCAUUCGUGUUGACAACAUUAGAGAAGGAAGCUAUCAAAGAGCCGAUCCAAACUUUGUAAUGCUGACACCAACCAAGGAGCACUUGGCAGAAGGCAUACACUGGAAAGUGGGGAAGAGACCAUUACUUCAAUCUGAUGUGAAUUCUGGGAAUUUUGAUGGCAUGCCUAGGGAACUAAGACCAAUUGGCAAAAUGUUGUAGUCUCAGUUCGUUUUUCAACAUGUCAUUCUUAUAGCUUUUGAGUAGUAGCCUCAGCGGCGCCAUAGCAAAAAAACUUUGUGCUAUUCUUUUUGCAUUAUAUACUUCUUGUUAGAUAGUAUACACAUGAAUUUGUUCUGCUUCUUAUAUAGGUGGUUGUUCCAAUUCAUUAAGG
rnacentral:misc_RNA from 1 species